AUUUAUAACAGGGCAUGGUAAAGGCACCCAUACAACGCUCGUGAUCCAUCAACGGUGCUAGGUGCCUUAGUGCGCCAGAUGUAUCCACCGCUAGGUGGUCCAAAAAAUGACCAGAAACCGGUAUUGUGUUGGGAGGACUACAAGUGGUCCCCUGGUCCAGAAGUAAGAAUAGCAACUUCCAAAAUAGUGGAUGAAUUUUGGUGGCAUUUCAAGUGUGACCCAUUGGAGCAAGAGAAGGCAGAUGGUGGUUUGGAGGAGAACUUAACUAGGAAAGUGAAACGGAUGCUACAUGAGGAAAAGGCGGCAGCCAUCAAAAGAUUAAGGAAGAAGGGACAAUUUCCUAUAGAACUAACAGAAAUGGAUGAUGAUGGUAACCGCUGGCCAACUAAGGAAGCUUUAAUUUAUGCAAAGAGAGUUGACUUUGGUGCAGAUGUUGGUUGGCAUCUACUAUGUGAGCACUAGAGUAGGACUGAAUUUAGAGGGUUACCUUUAACCAACAAGAUGAACAGACUUGCUAACGGGGACGCGAAACUAAAAACCCGGAAAGACCCUGGAAUUUCUGGUGCUUGGCUUCACACACACAAAUUGAGGGACUGA
rnacentral:rRNA from 1 species